CUUAGAGCCAUCACUUCUGGUUGUAAACCCCACUGCUGCUUUCUGGUUAUGAGCUUUUCUGUCACUACACAACUGCAACUGGAAACACAUGGACAAAAACAGGACUAUUUCGAAGAUUAAAUGAAAUAACUCUAUGGUUUGGGUUUUCUAGAAGUGAAGCUUUCUCUCAUCCGGUUCCUUAUUGUGAAGUACCUAAGAAACUUGAAGAACCGUGAAGCACAACACUAUGGAUUCUGGAUGAAUCCACGGCCUACCAGAGUUUUGGAAGAGAAUAAUGAGGUGGACAAGUGGUCCAAAGAAAGUUUGUCUCAUCUCUGCUUCUCUGAAGAGGUAUCUCAUAACUUAUCCCAGAGAAAUUUACCACCCAAGCUCUCAGAAGCCAUAGAAGGAAGAGAGAAAAGAGACAUCUGACUUCUCCAAGAAGAAAGACAAUGUCUGGAUUAGCAGGGCCCACUGGUCUCCAAGGAUAAUUCAUGCUAUCCUCAUGCACAUUGGACUCAUGGUCUGGCUCUGACCUCUGAAGAAUGGCUCUCGACCAACCGUCUUUAGAGGAAGCAGAAGCUGAAGCCUGGGAGAAUCUUGGCCAGGGCCACAGCCAUGACCUCAGACCCUGCAACUGCACCUGAGUACACAUUUCCAGGGGAGAUGUGCUCUCUAUGGAGGAACGGCAGCUCUGGCCCAUGGGGUCCCUAUGAGAUCACCCCAGCUGGUCUAAAUUAAUGUGUGACACACAUGCCCACUUUUUUUUAAAGCCCAAAACAUAGAAUCUCCUUUUUUUCUUGAUUCUAUACUCUAAACUUCUGCUAAAUCAACUUCUUUAAAAAUAUAUUUUCUCUUCUGCUUACCUAAAAUGUUUCCGUACUGAAUUUGCUGAGUAGCCAGCACAUUUGUAAAAGCACGUAGGCAAGCUAAACUCAUUUCCUAAGCCAGCUUCACACCUAAGCAUAAACAAGGGGUCUGGCCUUGGAAAAUGAACCACUUUCCUGACAAAGAAAUUGCUUCCUGUCACCAAGGAGAACGUGCCUCAUCUCCCACGCCUCUCUCUCUUGUCCCACACCUUGCACUUUUCUUCUUUCUUUCUCCUGAAUUUCAGCUUCCAGUGAAGUCUAUCUCAAAGCCCAAAUAAGUAGAGGAGGUUUUGUGUUGUCUCAGCCAAAUAAUCCCAGCUCACCCAAGCAUUCAGUGUUCAUAUGAAGUGUUUGCACAUUGGGUUUGCUGCCUGCUGGACUGAUCCCUCUCUCUCUGUCUGUCUUCCUCUCCCUCUCUCUUUCUCCCCUUACAAGCCAAGGACUGGAGGUAAAAGAGAAUAUUCAAUAUAUUCUGAAACAUAUUCAAAUCACAGAGAGAAAAACAGAGUUUCAAAAGAAAGAGAAGAAAACAAAAAACCUGGCCAUCCCUUUUCUUCUUCAAAUCUUUACUCUUAAAAGCCCUUUACUCUUAAAAGACCUUGUGGUACUUUGCUUUGUCAAACUCUGGUGUGAAAAAACAAAAACACAUGUACUCAACCACGUUGCUUUAUGCUGAUGAGCUCUUAUUUAUUAUGCCACUUCCAAAAAUGGAGAAAUGAAAGCCAAUCUAUUUUAUUUCUAAAGACAAAUCUUUCUGUGUCAGUCAAUGUCCAAAUAAAAAUAAUGAAAACCCCAUACUUGAGUAUCUAAAACAGAGAUUUGAGCACAAGGAAUUAGUUACCCAGGUGAUGGAAGAGCAGAGAAGUCAGACAAGAAACAAUAGGGCAAAUCAGAAGGUAGCAACAACAGGAUACAGCUACCACUCCUAGGCUGCAGGGACAGAGAGGGAAAUGGAGUUAUCAGAACCCAGGGCGUGGGGCCACCAGACAGAAGCUGGACCCACAGCCCAUUUGUCUGGUAGGAUCUGGAGUCAAGGAAGACAGGUAGCUGCUACUGGGGAAACCACCCAAGAUAGGAAGGUGAAGGAGAAAAAACAUGGUCUCUCUCUUCCUCUCUCCCUCCCAUCUGCACCCAGUGCCUCCCAUUGGCAGAAUCCAGCUGGAAGCCAGGUGAUCCAGGAGCCUGGAAAACACAACCUGAAAAUGGCUAGCUCACUGAGGCUCUCAGCCGAACAGAGGAACAUGAGAGAUGCUGCUGAAGAAGAUCAAGCCCAAGACUCAUACCUGUUCUUCCCACUCCUCCCUCCACAAUGUCCCCACUACCAACAUCCUCACCCAACCACUGAACAAACAGGAUGCAAAUUCCAGAGGCACUGGAAAUUGGGACUGCAAGGAAAGGUGCCAUGCAAGUAAAGCUCAAGUUCAUACCCAAAUUCAGUUCUACGGAGCUCUGAUUCUGGGCACCUUUUCCUCUAAUCAUUAGGGCUGCCACCUUGUCUGGUUUGUGUGUCCAAUCCUAGGAGUGUGAAAUGCAAUAAGUUCCAGGCAGAACAUGGGAAAUUACUCCACACUCACAUCAGGGAGCUUUUAAAUGGAACCUGGGCUAGAAGUGUGUUCUCACAUGGAGGCACAGGGUUUUUAGUCUCAUUCUCUUACCAAGAGCAAUGACCAGCCACGUGGGAAGAUACGGGGUCAGAGAAGAGAUUUUGGGGCAUCUUCCUGGAUGUCCUCUGAAGGCUUUUUUUUUUUUUUUUUGGUUUUUUCAGCAAUCAGUCCUUGCUGGACAUGUGCCUGCCCCAUGCCCAACCCCAGCCCCCAAGGCUAGAACUAAGCCUCUAGAAACAAAAGUAUCAGAAGAUCGCUCUGUUUGGAAAGUCUCAUAAAAGAGCUAUGAAUUUGUUCUUAAAUAAUCUACUCGGAAUGGAAUUCAACAAAUCACAACUAAAUCCUCCUUUUGGCAAAAUGAUUCCAUCUUUAUUAUAACUGUAUUAUCGCUUGUAUUACUGCACAUAUCUUCCUCUGCCCUCAAAAAUGGAGGAGGAGGAGAGAAGCCCAAAUAUAAUAUAAACAGAGGACUGGAAAAUUGCCCCAACAAAGCAUAAUGGCUAAACAAUGACUAACGGGGCUGUGAUAUGUAUCAACACAGACCCACGUUCAUAAACAGUGCAAUGGGAAGGAGAUGUGCAUGAGCUGGACAAGAGGAGGGUUUAGGCUGAGAGGUGGGGUGGAGAGGGGGCAAGGGCAUCGUUAGCAGGAUGACUGAGCAAGCUGAGUCUUUUCACCCUGGUCUGAGAGGCCCCAGCUAGAGAGGGUGAACACGGACCAUACAGACAAGCAUUUUAUGAUUCGCUUAAUGAGGCCGAGAGACAAUAGUUUCGCAGGAGCUGAGGCUCGGGCUCCUGAGUCAGACUGCCUUGGUUCAUGGCUCUGUUCCACUUCCUGCUUGUUUUGUCACCUGAGGCAAAUGAUUUACUAAUCCUUUAGAGCCUCAGAUUCCUCACUUGUAAAAUGAAAUCAUUCACUCAAAGAAUAAUUGUUGAAUAUCUACUAUGUGCCAGGCACUGUUCUAGGUGCUGGGAAUCCAAUAAGGGGUAGGGAGAGGGGAGAACACCCUUGCUCUCAAGGAGUUCAUACUCUGGUGGGGGAGAAAGAUAACACAGAUUAACAAACAAAUAGAGAAUAUAACGAUGGCGGGUUCUAUAAAGAGAAAUAAAGCUAGGUAAGAGGGAAGGAGUGAUAGCAGAAGGGUGUAGGCUAUUUAUAGAGUGGUCAGGAAAGAACCACAUGAACAUGUGAAUUCAAACAGACAUGGAAAAGAAGCAAAGGGGAGAGAUCCACAAAGGUAUGGGGAGGGUGUUCCGGGCAGAGGGGACAGCAAAUACCCCUCAGCUUCCAAGGCUUAUUACAUGGGGAUAAUAACAGGCAUUAGCAUAGCUCCUGGCACAUAGUAGGCACUUAAUAAAUGUUAGCUAUUAUUUUUAAUCAUAAAUGGGAUAUUCAUAAAGCUAAUUUUUGCUCAAGGUAGAGCAGCAAGAACAGUAAGAAAAUCAGCAAAUUCACCUCAGCUCUGGAUCCUUGUUCUUUCCCCACCUCCAUGUAUCACAAAAAAAGAGAUGCUUACAAAGAAAGAUGGUGCUCUCAAGCUUUCGUUAUCUGCAAAAAAAAGGGGGGGGGCACAGUGCAUGAUAACCCAAAUCAGCAAAUAACGCAAAAGACCUAUCCACAUUUUUAAUAGAUACCUAUGUGCAAAAGAUGUUGCCUAGUUAUGUGGUAUUCACUCUAGUAUCAACGGGAAGAUCAUGCGGUGCAGAAAUUGGCAUCAGAUACCAAGCAUUCAAUUCCUGGUUACGUGGUAUCAGACAAGUCCCUUAACCUCUCUGAGCUCACAGGGUCGUUAUGAGGAUCAGAUGCAAUGACAACUCUGGGGGCCUGUUGUGAACCACACAACUGAAUUUGAUUAUUGCUCUAUGAUGAAAGUUGAGUGAAUCAUCUGAUCUCACAACCACGGUUGGGGUGGGACAUGGCCCACCCACAUUUUGGAUGAUUAGGAGACGCAAGCCUGAGACCAACAAUUGCCCCAAGGAAGUCACAGAGCCAAUCAGAGUCACAAAGGGACUCUUCUGUUUUUAAUACUUUCUGGGAUGAUGUUGAUGGCAUUUGUUUAGAUUGGCAUUGAAGGGGAAUCAUUCUGUUGUGAAUCAAGUUGCUUAGAAAGGAGUUGCCGACCCUGCCAACAAUUUGAUUAGAACAGGCACACACUGCAGGGGAUAAAGGAGGCAGGCAUGUCUUGCAGUUUUCUACUGAGAUACAGACCACAAAAUUAAAGCCCUAGGUAUGGUAUGGCUUCAUAGGAGACUCCGUCCACUCCUAAGACGAAUAAGGCUUUCAGGAGCUGCAAAUGAGAUUCUUACCAUAGAGAUUCAGAGAGACCAGUAUGCUCACUUCAGUUUUCCUUCAUUAUUUAAAAUCACUGAAUUUUAGAGUGGAUAUAAAUGAAGAGUUCUUUACAAGUGAAUUCCUCUAAGUGCUGAGGCUUAAAAAAAAAAAAAAGUUAUGGAAAGAAUCAUUGGAGUUCUAUACUUUAAGGACAGUAAUAACCCAGGCUGUUACUAGGCAUAGGGUAUUUGGCC